AGUGAACGCUGGCGGUAGGCCUAACACAUGCAAGUCGAACGGCAGCACAGUAAGAGCUUGCUCUUACGGGUGGCGAGUGGCGGACGGGUGAGGAAUACAUCGGAAUCUACUUUUUCGUGGGGGAUAACGUAGGGAAACUUACGCUAAUACCGCAUACGACCUACGGGUGAAAGCAGGGGAUCUUCGGACCUUGCGCGAUUGAAUGAGCCGAUGUCGGAUUAGCUAGUUGGCGGGGUAAAGGCCCACCAAGGCGACGAUCCGUAGCUGGGCUGAGAGGAUGAUAAGUCACAGUGGAACUGAGACGGGGUACAGACUCCUACGGGAGGCAGCAGUGGGGAAUAUUGGAGGAUGGGCGAAAGCCUGAUCCAGCCAUGCCGCGUGGGGGAAGAAGGUCUUAGGAUUGUAAAGCCCUUUUGUUGGGAAGGAAAGGAAGCAAGUUAAUACCCUACUGUUCUGACGGUACCGAAAGAAUAAGCACCGGCUAACUUCGUG
rnacentral:rRNA from 1 species